rnacentral:rRNA from 1 species
CCUACGGGAGGCAGCAGUGAGGAAUAUUGGUCAAUGGACGAGAGUCUGAACCAGCCAAGUAGCGUGAAGGAUGACUGCCCUAUGGGUUGUAAACUUCUUUUAUAAAGGAAUAAAACGAGGCACAUGUGCCUUUUUGCAUGUACUUUAUGAAAAAGCAUCGGCUAACUCCGUGCCAGCAGCCGCGGUAAUACGGAGGAUGCGAGCGUUAUCCGGAUUUAUUGGGUUUAAAGGGUGCGUAGGCGGACUGUUAAGUCAGCGGUAAAAGCCCGGGGCUCAACCCCGGCGAGCCGUUGAAACUGGCUGUCUUGAGAUGUCGAGAGGUAUGCGGAAUGCGCAGUGUAGCGGUGAAAUGCUUAGAUAUCACGAAGAACUCCGAUUGCGAAGGCAGCUUACUAAACUGCCACUGACAUUGAUGCUCGAAAGUGUGGGUAUCAAACAGGAUUAGAUACCCCAGUAGUC